UAAAGAUAGUGGUAAUAACAUUGACUUCUUGCUUUCAAAAGGGCAAAAUUUAAUGAAAUACUCGUCAAUUUUCGAUAAGAGCGAGACAAAGCAACGUCGGGUGGUCAAGCUUUGUAAACAAAGUUAUAAUUCACAAGUAAUGUCGAGAAAACGUCCAAAAUGGUCAAAACUUAUUAUUUGUUUCCGUGGCAACGACAAAAGAUACGAGCUGGCAACAGAGCGAAGCGGCAUAGUGUAAACACCCUUGAUUUUGGCUUCGGUGUGAAAACUGAUCCGGUAUGAAAAUCAAUGCGGUAUAGUGUAAUCCCAGC